GAUGAAGAACGUAGCGAAAUGCGAUAAGUAGUGUGAAUUGCAGAAUUCAGUGAAUCAUCGAAUCUUUGAACGCACAUUGCGCCCCUUGGUAUCCCGAGGGGCAUGCCUGUUCGAGCGCCAUUUCACCACUCAAGCCUGGCUUGGUGUUGGGCGACGUCCUCUUUGGGGACGCGCCUCGAAACGCUCGGCGGCGUGGCACCGGCUUUAAGCGUAGCAGAAUCUUUCGCUUUGGAAGUCGGGGCCCCGUCUGCCGGAAGACCUGCUCGCAAGGUUGACCUCGGAUCAGGCAGGGAUACCCGCUGAACUUAAGCAUAUCAAUAAGCGGAGGA
rnacentral:misc_RNA from 1 species